rnacentral:rRNA from 1 species
GAUGAACGCUGGCGGCGUGCCUAAUACAUGCAAGUCGAGCGAACAGAUGAGGAGCUUGCUCCUCUGACGUUAGCGGCGGACGGGUGUGUAACACGUGGAUAACCUACCUAUAAGACUGGGAUAACUUCGGGAAACCGGAGCUAAUACCGGAUAAUAUAUUGAACCGCAUGGUUCAAUAGUGAAAGACGGUUUUGCUGUCACUUAUAGAUGGAUCCGCGCCGCAUUAGCUAGUUGGUAAGGUAACGGCUUACCAAGGCAACGAUGCGUAGCCGACCUGAGAGGGUGAUCGGCCACACUGGAACUGAGACACGGUCCAGACUCCUACGGGAGGCAGCAGUAGGGAAUCUUCCGCAAUGGGCGAAAGCCUGACGGAGCAACGCCGCGUGAGUGAUGAAGGUCUUCGGAUCGUAAAACUCUGUUAUUAGGGAAGAACAAAUGUGUAAGUAACUAUGCACGUCUUGACGGUACCUAAUCAGAAAGCCACGGCUAACUACGUG